GUCUGGGUGGCAGAGAAAUGCCUAAACUUUAAGCGUUUAUUAUAGAUUUUUAUAUUCUCCCAUACU
rnacentral:tRNA from 1 species